GCGCAUUUGGGGGUAACGGAUAACGCGCCUGAAUACGGAUCAGGAGGUUUCAGGUUCGAAUCUUAGCAGGCUC
rnacentral:tRNA from 1 species